GACGAACGCUGGCGGCGUGCUUAACACAUGCAAGUCGAACGGAAAGGCCCUGCUUUCGUUGUGUGCUCGAGUGGCGAACGUGUGAGUCACACGUGUGUAACCUGCCUGUGACUUUGGGAUAACUUCUGGAAACUGGGGCUAAUACCGGAUAUGAGCUCCUGCAGCAUGGUGUGGUGUGUAAAGUUUCGGCGGUUGGGGAUGGACUCGCGGCUUAUCUGACGGUUGGUGGGGUAGUGGCUGGCCAAGGCUUUGACGGGUAGCCGGCCUGAGAGGGGGACCGGCAACAUGGGGACUGAGAUACGGCAGAGACUACUGCGGGAGGUAGCAGUGGGGAAGAUUGCACAAUGGGCGGAUGCCGGAUGCAGCAACGCGGCGUGCGGGAGGACGGCUUUUGGGGUGUAAAAGGCUGUCGCCUGGGAGGAAGGGUGGGGGAGGGUAAUGGGGAAAGAAGCACCGCCUAACUACGU
rnacentral:rRNA from 1 species